GUGGGAGUAGCUCAAUGGGGAGAGUGCUUGCCUCGCCGGCAAAAGAUGAGGGUUCGAGUCCCUACUCCUGCA
rnacentral:tRNA from 1 species